AUUGAACGCUGGCGGCAGGCCUAACACAUGCAAGUCGAACGAGUGGCGGACUGGUGAGUAAUGUCUGGGCACCUGCCUGAUGGAGGGGGAUAACUACUGGAAACGGUAGCUAAUACUGCAUACCAUCAGAUGUGCCCAGAGGGGAUUAGCUAGUUGGUGGGGUAACGGCUCACCAAGGCGACGAUCCCUAGCUGGUCUGAGAGGAUGACCAGCCACACUGGAACUGAGACACGGUCCAGACUCCUACGGGAGGCAGCAGUGGGGAAUAUUGCACAAUGGGCGCAAGCCUGAUGCAGCCAUGCCGCGUGAGUGAAGAAGGCCUUCGGGUUGUAAAGUACUGUCAGCGGGGAGGCGUUACCCGCAGAAGAAGCACCGGCUAACUCCGUGCCAGCAGCCGCGGUAAUAC
rnacentral:rRNA from 1 species